GGGGUUUUCUGAGCAUCAAUGGAGGGUCCUUGGGACAUGCCCCAGGGGCAGGCUGGCCGGGAGGGGACGAGGGCCGGGUGCCUUCGGGACUUUGGAGCCUCUCGGUUUCCUGAUGUCUUCCUAAAACUAGAGCAAUGCCCGCAUGCCCCGUGGAGUAACUGAGCCCCUGCAGAGGGGCCUGGAGGCCGGGCGAGCCACGUGUGGGCCAGGACCCCCGCGGCCACAGGGCCGAGCGGCUGUGGUCAGUGCCGCCCGGCUCUUAGAGCCCUGGUGUCGGCUGAGGAGUGUGCAGGGCUAGCUGUGUUUGCAGAGCGAGCAGGACACCACAGCUGGAGUGUGGGGUGAAAGACUGUCCUCAGAAUGAGGACUCAUGUUCUGUGCUGGACUGUUGACGAUUCUUGGUCAGGAACGGAACCACCCGGGCGAGGAGGGACGAGGAGUCCUGCUGCCCGGAUGGCGGGUCUGGGGGCCAGGGAGCUGGGGCAGUCGGCGUCUCAGGGAGAGGGGUUUGCUCGUCCUAAGUGCAUGCUUCUUAAACACCGAAGGACAGGGCGUCUUUGAAGGGCUCCUGAGAAAAAGAGUUGACAAAACUGUGACUUUGCCAUGUCGAGAUUUUCAAGGAUAUUAGACCUUUUUAAUUAUAUCAGGCAAUUAACAACCCAGAAUCACGUCUUUCUGGAGUCGAACAAGAAGUAGGGCCGCGGUGCUGUCGCCCCCCUGCCGGAGUGGUUUUGACGUUGAUGAGUUAGGGUUAUUUUUGUAUUUAAUUCAGCGGUUCUGCAAGGGCUGAGUAAGCUGAGGCGCGGUGAGGGGCCAGGCUGCAGGUGGCAGGAAGCAGGUCACGCGGGCUGUCUAUUUUAGGGAGCCAGAAAACACACUUGGCAAAUUUAUAGUUUGUGGCUGGCAGAAGUGGUUUUCGGGUGGUUUCGCCCAGCCCAGCAAGGCUGAACACAGCCGCCCUGCAAAACAACACCUGUGUGAUUUGCAUUUCUAAAAUAAGGCCAAGACGCCGCAGGAGCCCCCCGCUUCCUUCUUUAGCUGAGUUUAAUUUUUCGGUCUUAGCUCACCAACAUCUCAAUUACGCUCAUUUCCAAAAUAAGAUGUUUAAGAAAUUAAACUGGUCUUAGGGACAGUUUACGAUGCGUUCGUGUAAGGUUUGUCUAAUUUGUUGUCCCUGAAAAUGGUUGUUGACCUCGAAACAUCCUCCGGUGCCCCCACGCACGGUUCUUGCAAUCACUGCGUUCGCAGUAUUUUAAGCGAGACGAUUUCUCUUUGUGAUGAAGAGGCACUUAGGUAUUCUGAUAACGUGGCCUUCCCAUCCGCAUGCUUGCAGACCACUUUUCAAGCAUUCCUGUUGGGACAAAUUUUAGGUGAAACGUGUGUCAUUGUCCUGAAUGAGUUCAGUGAAGCGUGUUGCUUGUUGGACUAAGAGGAAAUCCAGUCAGGCCUCGAAUCAGAAAGGAGCUCUGCCGGGCUUCCGCGCUGACGGAGCCCCAGUGGAGUGUCUGCCCGGCGCCCCCGGCCUGCCGUGGCUGGGGGUCCUCCGGGGCCCACCGUGGCUGGGGGCAGCAGUCGCGGCUUCCGCCACCAGGCCAACCGGCUAUGCACCAGCCAGCCGAUUUUAAUGGAUUUGGAGGAAUUCUUCAAAGACCCCCACGGUGACCAGGGAGCAGAGCUGAGAACCCGUCCCCUCCAAACCUCUUCCCCCUCAUCACCUGUGAGAGCUUCCAGUCCGAUGAGACCCUGGUGGCCAUGGGCUGCCUGGCCCGGGACUUCCUGCCCAGCUCCAUCACCUUCUCCUGGAACUACCAGAACACCAGUGAGGUCGGCAACCGGGACAUCAAGAACUUCCCUUCGGUUCUGAGAGAGGGCAAGUAUGUGGCUACCUCUCAGGUGUUCCUGCCCUCCGUGGACGUCCUCCAAGGCUCCGAUGAGUAUCUCACGUGCAAGGUCAAGCACUCCAAUGGUGACAAGUCAGUGAAAGUGCCCAUCUUAGUGCCUGCAGAGCUGCCCCCCAACGUGACUGUCUUCAUUCCACCCCGCGACGCCUUCUCUGGCAACGGCCAGCGCACGUCCCAGCUCAUCUGCCAGGCCAAGGGUUUCAGCCCCCAGCAGAUCUCCGUGUCCUGGCUUCGUGAUGGAAAGCGGAUCGAGUCUGGCAUCGACACUGGCAGGGUGGAGGCCGACGACAAGGUGUCCGGGGUUGUGACCUAUAAGGUCCUCAGCAUGCUGACCAUCACCGAGAGCGCCUGGCUCAGCCAGAGUGUGUUCACCUGCCAAGUGGAGCACAACGGGGUGGUCUCCGAGAAGAACGUGUCCUCCAUGUGCACCCCCAAUUCACCUGUCAGCAUCAGCAUCUUCACCAUCCCCCCCUCCUUUGCCAGCAUCUUCCUCACCAAGUCGGCCAAGCUGUCCUGCCUGGUCACAGACCUGGCCACCUAUGACAGCCUGACCAUCUCCUGGACCCGCCAGAAUGGCGAGCCUCUGAAAACCCACACCAACAUCUCCGAGAGCCACCCCAACAUCACCUUCAGUGCCAUGGGGGAGGCCACUGUCUGUGUGGAGGACUGGGAGUCGGGGGAGCAGUUCACCUGCAUGGUGACCCACACAGAUCUGCCCUCACCGCUGAAGAAGACCAUCUCCAGGCCCAAGGAGGUGGCCAAGCACAUGCCAUCUGUGUACGUCCUGCCGCCGAGCCGGGAGCAGCUGAGCUUGCGGGAGUCGGCCUCGGUCACCUGCCUGGUGAAGGGCUUCUCACCCCCAGACGUGUUCGUGCAGUGGCUGCAGAAGGGGCAGCCCAUGUCCCCCGACAGCUACGUGACCAGCGCCCCAACACCCGAGCCCCAAGCCCCUGGCCUCUACUUUGUCCACAGCACCCUGACCGUGAGCGAGGAGGACUGGAGUGCCGGGGAGACCUACACCUGUGUUGUAGGCCACGAGGCCCUGCCCCACAUGGUGACCGAGAGGAGUGUGGACAAGUCCACCGAGGGGGAGGUGGGUGCCGAGGAGGAAGGCUUCGAGAACCUGAACACCAUGGCGUCCACCUUCAUCGUCCUCUUCCUCCUCAGCGUCUUCUAUAGCACCACAGUCACGCUGUUCAAGGUGAAAUGACCGGCCCACGAAGUACAUCAGAGGCCCGGGACCUGGAGCCCAGGGGGCAGCUCGUGGAGCCCGUCCACUUGUCCUUGGACUUUUCCCAUGUCACCCCCUCCCCCCUUCCAGCUCGAAGACUCAGCCGAGUGCCGGGCCGCGUGUGGAGCCCACAGGCCCAAGUCCACUCCGAGCAUUGCUUUGCAACGGACACGCGUGUCGCCUUCAAAUAAACGUGUAUAUUUGAUCUUA